AGCGUACACGGUGGAUGCCCUGGCAGUCAGAGGCGAUGAAGGACGUGCUAAUCUGCGAUAAGCGUCGGUAAGGUGAUAUGAACCGUUAUAACCGGCGAUUUCCGAAUGGGGAAACCCAGUGUGUUUCGACACACUAUCAUUAACUGAAUCCAUAGGUUAAUGAGGCGAACCGGGGGAACUGAAACAUCUAAGUACCCCGAGGAAAAGAAAUCAACCGAGAUUCCCCCAGUAGCGGCGAGCGAACGGGGAGCAGCCCAGAGCCUGAAUCAGUGUGUGUGUUAGUGGAAGCGUCUGGAAAGGCGCGCGAUACAGGGUGACAGCCCCGUACACAAAAAUGCACAUGCUGUGAGCUCGAUGAGUAGGGCGGGACACGUGGUAUCCUGUCUGAAUAUGGGGGGACCAUCCUCCAAGGCUAAAUACUCCUGACUGACCGAUAGUGAACCAGUACCGUGAGGGAAAGGCGAAAAGAACCCCGGCGAGGGGAGUGAAAAAGAACCUGAAACCGUGUACGUACAAGCAGUGGGAGCCUCUUUAUGGGGUGACUGCGUACCUUUUGUAUAAUGGGUCAGCGACUUAUAUUCUGUAGCAAGGUUAACCGAAUAGGGGAGCCGAAGGGAAACCGAGUCUUAACUGGGCGUUAAGUUGCAGGGUAUAGACCCGAAACCCGGUGAUCUAGCCAUGGGCAGGUUGAAGGUUGGGUAACACUAACUGGAGGACCGAACCGACUAAUGUUGAAAAAUUAGCGGAUGACUUGUGGCUGGGGGUGAAAGGCCAAUCAAACCGGGAGAUAGCUGGUUCUCCCCGAAAGCUAUUUAGGUAGCGCCUCGUGAAUUCAUCUCCGGGGGUAGAGCACUGUUUCGGCAAGGGGGUCAUCCCGACUUACCAACCCGAUGCAAACUGCGAAUACCGGAGAAUGUUAUCACGGGAGACACACGGCGGGUGCUAACGUCCGUCGUGAAGAGGGAAACAACCCAGACCGCCAGCUAAGGUCCCAAAGUCAUGGUUAAGUGGGAAACGAUGUGGGAAGGCCCAGACAGCCAGGAUGUUGGCUUAGAAGCAGCCAUCAUUUAAAGAAAGCGUAAUAGCUCACUGGUCGAGUCGGCCUGCGCGGAAGAUGUAACGGGGCUAAACCAUGCACCGAAGCUGCGGCAGCGACGCUUAUGCGUUGUUGGGUAGGGGAGCGUUCUGUAAGCCUGUGAAGGUGUGCUGUGAGGCAUGCUGGAGGUAUCAGAAGUGCGAAUGCUGACAUAAGUAACGAUAAAGCGGGUGAAAAGCCCGCUCGCCGGAAGACCAAGGGUUCCUGUCCAACGUUAAUCGGGGCAGGGUGAGUCGACCCCUAAGGCGAGGCCGAAAGGCGUAGUCGAUGGGAAACAGGUUAAUAUUCCUGUACUUGGUGUUACUGCGAAGGGGGGACGGAGAAGGCUAUGUUGGCCGGGCGACGGUUGUCCCGGUUUAAGCGUGUAGGCUGGUUUUCCAGGCAAAUCCGGAAAAUCAAGGCUGAGGCGUGAUGACGAGGCACUACGGUGCUGAAGCAACAAAUGCCCUGCUUCCAGGAAAAGCCUCUAAGCAUCAGGUAACAUCAAAUCGUACCCCAAACCGACACAGGUGGUCAGGUAGAGAAUACCAAGGCGCUUGAGAGAACUCGGGUGAAGGAACUAGGCAAAAUGGUGCCGUAACUUCGGGAGAAGGCACGCUGAUAUGUAGGUGAAGCGACUUGCUCGUGGAGCUGAAAUCAGUCGAAGAUACCAGCUGGCUGCAACUGUUUAUUAAAAACACAGCACUGUGCAAACACGAAAGUGGACGUAUACGGUGUGACGCCUGCCCGGUGCCGGAAGGUUAAUUGAUGGGGUUAGCGCAAGCGAAGCUCUUGAUCGAAGCCCCGGUAAACGGCGGCCGUAACUAUAACGGUCCUAAGGUAGCGAAAUUCCUUGUCGGGUAAGUUCCGACCUGCACGAAUGGCGUAAUGAUGGCCAGGCUGUCUCCACCCGAGACUCAGUGAAAUUGAACUCGCUGUGAAGAUGCAGUGUACCCGCGGCAAGACGGAAAGACCCCGUGAACCUUUACUAUAGCUUGACACUGAACAUUGAGCCUUGAUGUGUAGGAUAGGUGGGAGGCUUUGAAGUGUGGACGCCAGUCUGCAUGGAGCCGACCUUGAAAUACCACCCUUUAAUGUUUGAUGUUCUAACGUUGACCCGUAAUCCGGGUUGCGGACAGUGUCUGGUGGGUAGUUUGACUGGGGCGGUCUCCUCCUAAAGAGUAACGGAGGAGCACGAAGGUUGGCUAAUCCUGGUCGGACAUCAGGAGGUUAGUGCAAUGGCAUAAGCCAGCUUGACUGCGAGCGUGACGGCGCGAGCAGGUGCGAAAGCAGGUCAUAGUGAUCCGGUGGUUCUGAAUGGAAGGGCCAUCGCUCAACGGAUAAAAGGUACUCCGGGGAUAACAGGCUGAUACCGCCCAAGAGUUCAUAUCGACGGCGGUGUUUGGCACCUCGAUGUCGGCUCAUCACAUCCUGGGGCUGAAGUAGGUCCCAAGGGUAUGGCUGUUCGCCAUUUAAAGUGGUACGCGAGCUGGGUUUAGAACGUCGUGAGACAGUUCGGUCCCUAUCUGCCGUGGGCGCUGGAGAACUGAGGGGGGCUGCUCCUAGUACGAGAGGACCGGAGUGGACGCAUCACUGGUGUUCGGGUUGUCAUGCCAAUGGCACUGCCCGGUAGCUAAAUGCGGAAGAGAUAAGUGCUGAAAGCAUCUAAGCACGAAACUUGCCCCGAGAUGAGUUCUCCCUGACUCCUUGA
rnacentral:rRNA from 1 species